GUAGGUGGCAAGCGUUGUCCGGAAUUAUUGGGCGUAAAGCGCGCGCAGGCGGUUCUUUAAGUCUGAUGUGAAAGCCAACGGCUCAACCGUGGAGGGUCAUUGGAAACUGGAGAACUUGAGUACAGAAGAGGAAAGCGGAAUUCCACGUGUAGCGGUGAAAUGCGUAGAGAUGUGGAGGAACACCAGUGGCGAAGGCGGCUUUCUGAUCUGUAACUGACGCUGAGGCGCGAAAGCGUGGGGAGCAAACAGGAUUAGAUACCCUGGUAGUCCACGCCGUAAACGAUGAGUGCUAAGUGUUAGGGGGUUUCCGCCCCCCUUAGUGCUGCAGCUAACGCAUUAAGCACUCCGCCUGGGAGUACGGCCGCAAGGCUG
rnacentral:rRNA from 1 species